UGGGGAAUAUUGGGCAAUGGGGGCAACCCUGACCCAGCGACGCCGCGUGAGGGAAGACGGCCUUCGGGUUGUAAACCUCUUUUGUACGGGAAGAAGGACGUGACGGUACCGUGCGAAUAAGUCCCGGCUAACUACGUGCCAGCAGCCGCGGUAAUACGUAGGGGACGAGCGUUGUCCGGAAUUACUGGGCGUAAAGGGCGCGCAGGCUGUAGAUCAAGUCAGCUGUGAAAUGUCUGGGCUUAACCCGGGCAUGCGGUUGAAACUGAUGUACUGGAGUGCUGUAGAGGCAAGUGGAAUUCCCAGUGUAGCGGUGAAAUGCGUAGAUAUUGGGAAGAACACCGGUGGCGAAGGCGACUUGCUGGGCAGCAACUGACGCUGAGGCGCGAAAGCCAGGGGAGCAAACGG
rnacentral:rRNA from 1 species